AUCAGUCCUCCUGAUGUCUUCAACAUCCCUGAUGGCAAGUUCUACUUAGGAGAUGCUGGCUAUGCAUGUCGACCAGGUGUUCUUCCACCCUUCAGGAAAACCAGGUACCAUAUGAACGAGUUCUCUAGUAGGAACUAUCCUAGGACUUCUCAGGAGCUGUUCAAUCUCAAACACUCCGGCCUUAGAGUAACGGUUGAGAGGGCAUUUGGAUCUCUCAAGGACAAGUUCAAGACCAUGGAUCAGAAGUCAUUCCACCCUUACCCUACCCAGGUUAAGCUUGUUCUUGCAUGUUGCAUUCUGCAUAACUGGAUCCUGGAAUGGGGUGUUGAUGAAUUGGUGCCUGAGGAGGAAGAGGUGAUGCCUGGCGAUCUUGACCUCGGUUGCCAUGGUGUUGAGGCAUUUGACAACAAAGCCUGGAAGAACAAAAGGCUGGAGUGGGCACAUACGAUGUGGGAUAACAGUGGUCGGACAAGGAUCUGA
rnacentral:rRNA from 1 species